rnacentral:rRNA from 1 species
UAUUUAACGAAAGUGGCGAACGGGUGAGUACACGUGAGCAACCUGCCUUACACAGGGGAUAGCCAUUGGAAACGGUGAUUAAUACCCCAUAAGACCACAAUACCGCAUGGUAAAAGGGUAAAAGGGAUACCGGUGUAAGAUGGGCUCGCGUCUGAUUAGCUAGUUGGUGGGGUAAAGGCCUACCAAGGCGACGAUCAGUAGCCGGUCUGAGAGGAUGAACGGCCACAUUGGAACUGAGACACGGUCCAAACUCCUACGGGAGGCAGCAGCU